rnacentral:rRNA from 1 species
UACAGAGGGGGCAAGCGUUGUUCGGAAUUACUGGGCGUAAAGGGCGCGUAGGCGGCCUGUUAAGUCGAACGUGAAAUCCCCGGGCUCAACCCGGGAACUGCGUCCGAUACUGGGAGGCUUGAAUCCGGGAGAGGGAUGUGGAAUUCCGGGUGUAGCGGUGGAAUGCGUAGAGAUCCGGAAGAACACCGGUGGCGAAGGCGGCCCGCUGGGCAGUGGCUGACGCUGAGGCGCGACGCGUGGGGAGCAACAGG